rnacentral:lncRNA from 1 species
UCCGGUCCAUCAAAGCGUCGUUUGAGCAGCCGAUUUCCUUGACGCGCUAGUCGUCGGAGCAUUGUUUGAGGAAAUCGGAGGAAGAAGGUGCGGCGGGAAGAAGGUGCAGACGGGAAGAGAUGGAAAUUGGAGGAAGAAGGUGCGGCGGGAAGAAGGUGCAGACAGGAAGAGAUGGAAAUCGGAGGAAGAAGAUGGGGAUUUUUCCUUUUUUUUAAUUUAUACUCAUUCAAAAUGACGUCGUUUUGAACUCCGGUGCGUCCACGUCUGAAAACUCCGGUGCCACGUCAACACCGAUCAAGGUGAUGGUCAACGCGUGUGCAAUUUGCAACAAAAUUAAAAGGUUAUGUAUUCUGAGGCUAUUUUUAAAGGUCAUGUGCAAUUUGCAAAUUU